UACGUAGGGCGCAAGCGUUGUCCGGAAUUAUUGGGCGUAAAGAGCUCGUAGGCGGUCUGUCACGUCUGCCGUGAAAACCCGAGGCUUAACCUCGUGGCUUGCGGUGGAUACGGGCAGACUAGAGGUAUGCAGGGGAGAACGGAAUUCCUGGUGUAGCGGUGAAAUGCGCAGAUAUCAGGAGGAACACCGGUGGCGAAGGCGGGUCUCUGGGCCGAUACUGACGCUCAUGCACGAAAGCGUGGGGAGCAAACAGG
rnacentral:rRNA from 1 species